rnacentral:rRNA from 1 species
UACGUAGGGGGCUAGCGUUGUCCGGAAUCAUUGGGCGUAAAGAGCGUGUAGGCGGCCCGGUAAGUCCGCUGUGAAAGUCGGGGGCUCAACCCUCGAAUGCCGGUGGAUACUGUCGGGCUAGAGUGCGGAAGAGGCGAGUGGAAUUCCUGGUGUAGCGGUGAAAUGCGCAGUUAUCAGGAGGAACACCAAUUGCGAAGGCAGCUCGCUGGGACGUAACUGACGCUGAGACGCGAAAGCGUGGGGAGCAAACAGG